GCUCAGUUCUGUGCCCACGGGCCUCUUUUCCUCCUGUGAUUUUCCUGAAUUCAACCCCAAGACAUCCCCCAAGUUGAUUCCUGAUUCCACAUUAAUUGGACCAAAAAGUACGAUAGGCACGUGCCUCUCGGAAAGGGGGGGGGGUACUUCUCAGUGUCUUUAUACUUCCAGUUUUUAUUCCAAAUGGCAAUCUGAGGAGGCUUAGUAAUCAAAGCAGACAUGGAAAGAGGGGGAGCUUUGCGGUAGAAGGAGAAGGAAAACUGGAGACGUAAACAUCGGGGCUGAAGAAUCCAUGCUGGAGGUAGCAGAGCAAAUCUGUGAGGAGGUGAAGCCGCUUCUCAUAAUGAACAACUGGAAAUCUGGAAUCUCAUGGAACUAAAAACCUUCUGUACAGUAAAGGAAGCAAGUGAGCAAAGACACUACCUGAAGAAUAGGAGAAAACACUGACCAGCUAUUUAUCUGUUAGAGCAUUAGUAACUAGAACAUUCAAAGAACUAAAAGAAAUCAAGAAAAUAAAAAGAUAAAAAGUUGAAAUGAAUGUUGGCUCUCAAAAUACAAAAAGAAAGA